UACGAAGGGGGCUAGCGUUGCUCGGAAUCACUGGGCGUAAAGCGCACGUAGGCGGCUUUUUAAGUCAGGGGUGAAAUCCUGGAGCUCAACUCCAGAACUGCCUUUGAUACUGAGAGGCUCGAGUCCGGGAGAGGUGAGUGGAACUGCGAGUGUAGAGGUGAAAUUCGUAGAUAUUCGCAAGAACACCAGUGGCGAAGGCGGCUCACUGGUCCGGUACUGACGCUGAGGUGCGAAAGCGUGGGGAGCAAACAGG
rnacentral:rRNA from 1 species